CCUACGGGUGGCUGCAGUGGGGAAUAUUGGACAAUGGGGGGAACCCUGAUCCAGCCAUGCCGCGUAUGUGAAGAAGGCCCUCGGGUUGUAAAGCACUUUCAGUGAGGAAGAACGCCUGGUGGUUAAUACCCAUCAGGAAAGACAUCACUCACAGAAGAAGCACCGGCUAACUCCGUGCCAGCAGCCGCGGUAAUACGGAGGGUGCGAGCGUUAAUCGGAAUUACUGGGCGUAAAGCGCGCGUAGGUGGCUUGAUAAGCCGGUUGUGAAAGCCCCGGGCUCAACCUGGGAACGGCAUCCGGAACUGUCAAGCUAGAGUGCAGGAGAGGAAGGUAGAAUUCCCGGUGUAGCGGUGAAAUGCGUAGAGAUCGGGAGGAAUACCAGUGGCGAAGGCGGCCUUCUGGACUGACACUGACACUGAGGUGCGAAAGCGUGGGUAGCAAACAGGAUUAGAUACCCGUGUAGUC
rnacentral:rRNA from 1 species